rnacentral:piRNA from 1 species
AAAGCAACAUUCUCCAGAGGACAGGAGGGA